rnacentral:rRNA from 1 species
UAGGGAAUAUUGGUAAUGUGCGAAAGCGCGAACCAGCAACGCCGCGUGCACGAUGAAGGCCUUCGGGUCGUAAAGUGCUUUUAGAGAGGAUGAGGAAGGACAGUACUUUCUGAAUAAGCCUCGGCUAACUACGUGCCAGCAGCCGCGGUAAAACGUAGGAGGCUAGCGUUAUCCGGAUUUACUGGGCGUAAAGCGCAUGCAGGUGGUUUUGUAAGUUGGAUGUGAAAGCUCCUGGCUUAACUGGGAGAGGUCGUUCAAAACUACAAGACUUGAGAUUGGUAGAGGAAAAUGGAAUUCCGGGUGUAGUGGUGAAAUGCGUAGAUAUCCGGAGGAACACCAGUGGCGAAAGCGGUUUUCUGGACCAAUUCUGACACUCAGAUGCGAAAGCUAAGGUAGCAAACG